UACAGAGGGUGCGAGCGUUAAUCGGAAUUACUGGGCGUAAAGCGUGCGUAGACGGCUAUCUAAGUCGGGUGUGAAAGCCCCGGGCUCAACCUGGGAAUUGCAUUCGAGACUGAAUAGCUAGGGUACGGUAGAGGGAAGUGGAAUUUCCGGUGUAGCGGUGAAAUGCGUAGAUAUGCGGAGGAACACCGAUGGCGAAGGCAAUCCCCUGGGCCUGCACUGACGCUCAUGCACGAAAGCGUGGGGAGCAAACAGG
rnacentral:rRNA from 1 species